rnacentral:tRNA from 1 species
GCGCUUGUAGCUCAACUGGAUAGAGCGUCUGACUUCGGAUCAGAAGGUUGAGGGUUCAAAUCCUUCCAAGCGCACCA